rnacentral:lncRNA from 1 species
ACUCGGACGUCCGAAGAUAAUAAGCCAAGUCUUCUAUGAUCACUGACCUCGAUCGGACACACAAUACCUCUGUACUGGACGUCCGACAAACGUUGCGGUGCUUCAGACGCAAUACACUGAGAGCAUCGGACGUCCGAAAGAAAUGAAGAAGGAUUUGCAAAUAUACAUCUUACCUUCAGACGUGUAUUAUGGAAGGACAGAAUGUCCUAAGAAUCUCAAGAAAAUUUUUUGAACUCACUGUCUUCGUUCGGAAGCAGAAAAUCAGAGUAC